UGGCAAAUGCUAGUUUAUAAUAAAUAGGAAGGGGAUGGGUUUAGGAUAUAGUAGUGAUUCGGCCAUAUUGGGAAGGGAAGAGGAGUGUAGUAGCAGCCAUAUUGGGAAUGGCAAAUGCUAGUUUAUAAUAAAUAGAACAGUAUUGUACUUGAAUAAUAUAAUUCAAACAUUUAAAUAGUACAAUAGCAAUAAAAUAAUGAUAUAUAGUAACUUUGAACAGU